AACAGUGCACAACUCGUAUUGUAAUAUCUUGUGACAAUUCUUAUCGUAACAAACGAGUAAAACAUGCCGGUACGUAUUAUUAUACGGUACAAUAGCGCACCUGCUUGUAAUUAUAAUUAAACAGAACAUUACGUAUCCACGGAUUUGCAAUAUUUGCUUAAUUACACCUAUAAUAAUAAUAAAAAUAAUAAAAAUAGUAAAAACAUAUGACGCACCACAAAGUAUUACAAAGUAUGAUGUAAAUUGUCAAACGUACAUUGUCCUUUCGUUACAAUGACUAAACUCUCCGUAAGCCUGUUUUGGCUAUGCUAAGCGCAGUAGUAAUGAUCGCUCAAAGUAAGAAAUGCACGAACGAUUGUACUGGAAUAUUUUCUUGUCCGUUUAUUCCGGGUAAUUGCACGCAAACCUUGCGGCGCAUUGCAGAGGUAUCCUGAGUGCGCUUGUUGUAAUUCUUGUGUUUACACUGUUGGUUUGAAUAGUUUCUGUGGGUUGAAUUCAACAAUUCGUUCGUGGCAAAAAUGCGGAUGUAAUUUAAAAUGCACAGAACCACCCAAAACAGGUGGUUAUUGUCGUGCAAAACAUGAUGACGAUUCUCCUGGCAGUGAUUCAUCUAACGAAUAAUCUAAUUUUCUUUUCAAGUUAAUAAUGUCUUGUGGUCAACUACACAAAUAAAUAAAAUGUAAAGCUUAA